rnacentral:rRNA from 1 species
AUGAGGGCGACCGUUGCGGCGUCCUCAGGGGCGGGCACUCCUUUGGAUCUAUCAGCCCGAUCGCCGGCCAGCCGGCCGCGGACCGAGGGCCGUUUCGGGGUGCUUGAGACGGAAGGCGAGGACGGCGAGGAAGAUGACGAAGAGCUGGCUGGAGAUUCAUCCGGGCUGGCGUCACCGACGCCAUCGGAUAAUGUGUGCCUUCUUUUGACUGAGGGUUACGACGAGAAGGAGCUGGCUGGGAUCAUCGAUGAGCUCCUUCCCGCGGAUGAUUCGGCGAGCGUUGGAUUGCAGGAGACGGAGGGCGACGAGGUAAUCCGGCGGGUCGCGCAGCGGCGGAUGGCGGCGAGGUCUAUUCGGCCAUGGAUCGGGCCGAUACCCAAGGUAUGUUUACCUCAGCUCACUCUGUGUGACAUGAUACAUCCGGAGAUGUGGACAACGGUGGUUCGUCGGAAGAAGGGACGCUGGCCGCCGGUGGAGACGGUGCCGCCGCGAUCUCCGGCGAAUUCACAGGCGGUCAGAUCACAGCCUAACGCAAGGACAAGAGGAGGACUGCGCGCACCGGCGAGGCGAGAUGGCUCGAGCGUGCCGGCCGUGUCGGGCCUGGGAGGUUCCCGACCCAACAUGGCUAGCCCUGUAGCGCUGCAUGAUGUGGGCCUGAGGUGCGCUCGGCCCAACAUGGCGUCUACUAGGGUACGACCUAUGCGUCCAUCGCCCGGGUUUCGUUCGAUUGGAAAAGGAAAGGCGCCGCGAGUUUGGCUGUCAACGGCGGCGGGGGAUUCGCGAUCUUUCGCGUCCGUGGUGAUGAGCUCGGGAAGUGGCGGCGACUGGCCUCCCCAGCGGGCCGGCGGCGGCAAUAACAUGCAGGGGCGUCCCGACGCCGGGGGCAAUCGCGGCGGAGCUACGGGGGGUCGUGGCGCUGGUCGUGGCGCGCCAAACGGCGGGGCGGCACAGGCGGCAGCCACUGGCCGGCAAGUUGGCGGGCUGAUGCGACCUGAGCAACAUGGCGGAGGUGGCCGUGGAGGCUAUGGUGGUUUUGGCAAUUACGGCGGCGGCGGCGGCGGCUAUAAUGGCGGUCGUUCGAACUGGAAUCGCCAAUGGGGUGAUGAUGGCUCUACGGGGCAUAUGGUGACGGGCAGUUUGCUGGUUCUUCAUCAGGUGGACAGAGAGAGGCACCUGAUGACUAUGGUGGCUUCCAGGGUCCUGUCGGAGGUUUCGUCGAGGGACCUGCUGGCCCGUAGCAGUACCAGCCGCGUCGGGGUGGUCCGGCAGGCAAGCGAUUCGGGAGGACUGGGGGCCGGAACACACGCCCACCGAGGAGGGAUCCUCCGCCGCGGCGUGAUCCGGCGGACUCAGCCGGCAGCGGUGGUGCCCACGGUUGGUGCAACUGCUGCGGGUUCGACGGCUGCUACGAGCUCGACGGCAGUGACGGUGACGUCUGCUGAUGGCGCGGCAAGGCUGCCGGGGGAGGCCAUGGCUGCAGUGGCUGCCGUUCCAGUCGAGAAGGUGAAGAACGCUGCGGAAAAGGGUGAUAAAACAAAUCAGCGCAAGAAAGAGAAAUUGUACUGCUACCGAUGUGGCGAGCCUGGGCACUUCUCAGUUGGAUGUACCACAGAGUUGUGCAACAUAUGUCAGAAGCCAAAACAUGACACGGAGUGUCCGCUUUUGUCUGUACCGGUGCCGACGGUAUCUAUUUAUGGAGUGUGUGAUGCUGCACUCAUGUUCUUCGAGACGCCUGUGAUGCAUUCUUGCAGGCCUGGUCUGGAGAAUGCCAGGACGGGCUUGAUUAGAGUUACACAUGGUACUUUGGCUGAGGAUCAGAUUAUUGCUCAACUUAGACGGCUGGUAUCGAGUUCUUUUCAGUGGGCUCUAGAGAGGAUUGGAGAUCAAGUGUACAAGGUUAAUUACCCGACUAAGGUUGAUCUAGAUAGGAUCGACAACUUUGGCAUUUGCAAGGUUCCUGGCAGCUCUUGUCGCUUUGAGUUUGAUGAGUGGAAACAGAACGAGCCGGCUGGGGUUCCUCUUAUGAAAAUCUGGGUGAGAUUCUCGGGCGUUCCUCCUAAAGCACUUAAUGAGUAUCUUGUGGUGGCGAGUCUGGGCUCUCUGAUUGGUAAAAUUCAGGAGGUGGACAUGGAUUUCACACGUAAGCAUGGGAUUGCACGGCUGCGAGUUGGGGUGAUUGAUGUGGAUUUGGUGCCUGCUAUGUUACCGUGGUUUUAUGAUGGUUUGGGAUAUGAUCUGAAACUAGUGAUUGAGGGCCAGCCUAUGGCUUUGGAUGAGGACAGAGCUAGGGGACCAGGGGACGGCGCGGAUGAUUCUGAUGAGCGUCCGGAUGAUUUGAUGGACCAGGAUAAGAGAGGAGAUCCACCUCCCUCAUCUGGGGGAACUGGACAGUCGGACUCUACGCCAGGAACGGCGGCUCGAGUUUCCGUGUCCACGCCCAUGACUGGGCUUCGUUUCGGUUCUUUCUGGGCGGCUUUGGCGCCUGCUCGCCUAUGGGCUGAUAGGAUGGAUAGUACAGACCCGGCGGAGAGUGAGUUACCUCCGUUGUCACCUGUUCGCUUCUCUUAUGCAAUGGGAGGCGCCAGUUUGUGUUCGCCCCCGAGGUCGCCGCGGGAGGGGAGCCCCAGACGGGUGGUUACCCCUGAUGUGACUAAGGAUGCUAUGAUCUCUUCGGACACUACGGAGGAUAGGUCUCCUAUACUAACACAGGAGGUGGAGAUGGUGGGAGAGUUAUCUUCGGCGGGCGAGCGCCCGACAACGGUUGUGGUUCGGAUUCCUUCUCCAUCGCCUAUGCAGGUGUCACAGGCGGUGACACCCGCACAGGAGGAUGCUGCUUCGCGGAUUCAGACGGCAUCACUCCCACCGCAGGAGGCGGCGCGAGUGUUGCCUUUGGAGACUUGUGUCCAACCACACACUGCUGACCGACAGGAGGCUUCGAAAAAAGGAAAGCCAUGGCGCAUGUCUGCAGCCCGUAAUCCUCCCAUCCGCGGAGUGAAGCUCGCGGCCGUCCUCGCCUCGGUUGCCUCGUCGCCGACGCUCAACGCCCUCAUCGCCGUGCUUGUAACCGCCGCUCGCAAAAGCAAUGUCCUGGUCGCUGCAGCUCCGGCCAGGCGACCACCACCUUGCCACGGCCACGACUGUCACCCCGGGAGCCUUCCUAUUACCGCAGCUCAUGGCGUGCUCGAAUCAGCUGGCGUAGCACCACCUUGCACAGCUAAAAGAAGGAGAAGCGAGGCGCUGGUGAUGGGCAGUAGCGAUUUGGAAGAAAGAAGACGAAGGGUGGGUGCGAAUGGGUGGCUGGGGCGUUUGAGUGAGAAGAUAAGGCUGCUGGGGUGGUACUCCAUCAGGGAGUUUGAGAGGACGAACGCCAUAUCGUACUCCUUCACCGCCGCUACCUGCGCCGCGGCAGCUUUGUCUCCGGCGGCGGCCGCUUCCUUCAUGUCGAACCACACGCGCUCCGCCGCCCUGAGUCACUUGAGCGCGGGUGAGAAGAUCCGGUCGAGGCGGUCGAAGUUUCUCCACACCCGCCGGCCGGAGCUGCUGGAGAGUGCGCUGCGAUCCCGAGCCUGCACCUUGCGCCAUUCUUCCAUCGGCGAGCGGGGGGAGGAGCUUCCCGCCUCGUCUUCAUGGCUGUGCUUGUGGGGCGGCGAGCCGCCACGGCGGCGAAGCCCCCCUUGGCCACCCCUCCCGCGACCCGCGCUCGACAUCGGGGCGAGGUUCAUUUGGCUACGCGUGCGGCAAACAGCUGUCGGAGGCGAAGGAGUUGAUGGACCAUCUAGUCACUGGGUGCCCUUUCUCUCGCACCCUUUGAUAUUGGGUCCUUUCCUGGAUUUAAUCGACCGUUCAUCACUCCUGGAGCUCAGAUCAUGGAUUGAUGGCACGAGGCUACCCACUUCACACCCCCCGUUGGGCGUAAGAGGGCAUGUCCACGGCCGUAUAAUUGCGCACUGGGCCGUCCCAACCAUCUCUUUAAAUCGCAAAAAAUAUGAGUGUGCCAAGAUUCGAGACACGAACUUCUGGUUCAAAAUGCGACGUGAUAACCAACUUGCCACAAUCACUUCACGUGGUUGCAGCCACAACUCCAAGAAUACGCGGAGGAGGUGGCCUGGGUCGGCGUCGGCGCCGUCCGGCGUGGGCUACGGGCCCGCUUCCAAGUGCGUCUACGCGUCGGCCACCCACGCCGGGUCCUUCAAGUGCCGGUUCCAACGCACCAACUCCAAGGGCCACGGCCACGACCAGGGCCAGGGAAGCCGCCCUUCUUCGCCCCCUUCACCGGCCGCGGCCAAUGCGGUGCCGCGGCACCCGGCCUCGCCGUCCCCGUCCUCCGGCACCGUCGCGACCCAGUGA